UUGGAGGGCAAGUCUGGUGCCAGCAGCCGCGGUAAUUCCAGCUCCAAUAGCGUAUAUUAAAGUUGUUGCAGUUAAAAAGCUCGUAGUUGAAUUUCGGGGUUAGUAGGUUGGUCAUGCCUCUGGUAUGUACUGAUCUCACUGAUUCCUCCUUCCUUAUGAACCGUAAUGCCAUUAAUUUGGUGUUGCGGGGAAUUUGGACUGUUACUUUGAAAAAAUUAGAGUGUUUAAAGCAGGCUAACGCUUGAAUACAUUAGCAUGGAAUAAUGAAAUAGGACGUUCGAUCUUAUUUUGUUGGUUUCUAGGAUUGACGUAAUGAUUAAUAGGGAUAGUUGGGGGCAUUAGUAUUCAAUUGUCAGAGGUGAAAUUCUUGGAUUUAUUGAAGACUAACUACUGCGAAAGCAUUUGCCAAGGAUGUUUUCAUUAAUCAAGAACGAAAGUUAGGGGAUCGAAGACGAUCAGAUACCGUCGUAGUCUUAACCAUAAACUAUGCCGACUAGGGAUCGGAUGAUGUUAAUUUUUUAAUGACUCAUUCGGCGCCUUACGGGAAAC
rnacentral:rRNA from 3 species